rnacentral:rRNA from 1 species
UCUGUAGGAGGUUCGUUAAAUGCGGGGUGAAAUCCGGGAGCUCAACUCCCGAACUGCCCUGUAGACUGGUGAACUAGAGUACUGGAGAGGUAAGCGGAAUACCAAGUGUAGCGGUGGAAUGCGUAGAUAUUUGGUAGAACACCAAGAGCGAAGGCAGCUUGCUGGACAGAUACUGACUCUGAAAGACGAAAGCGUGGGUAGCAAACAGGAUUAGAUACCCCUGUA